UGUACUAAAGUGUAGUUAUGCAUAAAAGUUUUUGGUGCUUUAGGAGCUUGAAAAUUCAAGCUAGUACAA
rnacentral:tRNA from 1 species